UCUUGACAGUCUUUGUUCAUAUCUGGAUGAAAAGGAUUUAUCUGUAAAAUCAAUCAUUAUUCGCAACUCUCAUCGAGUUGAAAUUGAUUGUGAUAAAACUUAAAACUUUGCUAAAGAACAAUUUCUAAAUGAUUUCAAGUUCUGAUAUAAGCAUUAAUCGAUAGUGUAGAGAACCGCUCAAUCGAGUCUGAAUUUUGGAAUAAAGGGACCAAUGACAAAGGAUGUCAGAAUCAAGAGGAAAAGAAUUAUCCAAAGAGCCAAGAAGGUUUAUCUUCAGCAAACUAAUAAAAAAGAGGGAAGGUAAAGCAAUAAAUGCAUUCAAUUUCAUCGAUUAAAUGCUUUUUACCAUAUUUCAUGAAAGAAAGUGCUUCAAAUUGUUGCCGUAUUAAACACUUUUUAAGCAGCAAACAUCGAAGAGCAUAUCAAUGGCCAAAUCAAAGACUCUGGAACCCUACACUUUCUGCAUAUUACCCCCCGGAAAGUGCAUCCGUAGCUCACUCAUGAGAAAAAUACGGAAAUUUGCCCAGUUAAUUGCUUAAACGUGUUCUGAAUGCUCUCGUGAAGUUUGAAAGGAAUUCAAGUUACAACGUGCGCAUAAAUUAAUAAUGAGCAACUGGGUAUUUAUGGAGAGGUCUCUGCUGUCUGUGGGAUAGACGACAAGCGGAGCAGUCAAGUCAACUCAUAAACGUCACUACACGAAACGCACUUGAUAUCAAAAUGGCAAAACAGAUGCUAACUCAUUUGGCAGUGGUUUUCAUCUUGGCUCUAGGUCUUUUAGUUUCAUCGACAAAUGCCUUCUCAUCACAGACUAAUAUGUGGCAAGGAAAAAGAUCAUUUCAGGCAGAAAGAAGAGCUGCAGUAACCAAGCAAACAAUUUGCAGCAUGUGUCAAAAGCACUGCGCUGAACGAAAAUACGUAGCACAGUACCAUCAGAUACAUAAAGAUGCCGACUUAGAAGACGGGGAGAGACGAGAGAAGGGUUUUGCAGGUUUUUGAAUGUCAGCACAAUAUAUAUUGACUUUUGAAAGCUUGUUUAAUAAAAUCUUGAUGCCGAUUGUAUGAAUUCAGUUGAUUUCCGAGAAAAGAUAUCCAAAAGGUAUAUAA